ACCAAAGGACCCGUCCGCAGCGGGAGGGGACGCGGCCAUCGCGAGCCCAGAGGAGGAUGCGGCGCCAAGCCGGAGACGGCACCAGGGAGAACUGUGGAGGCUGUUUAGUACUCAGUUCCGAUCUUGGCAGAAGUUUGCUAGCGCCUAGGUGCUUGCUUCAAAGUCAUCUCCAUGAAGCCUUUCCGAUUUAAAAAUUCCUACCUGCACUGCCAUCAUUCCAGAUCCCCAGAUCGGGCUCUAUUCCUCGCCUUUUGAAGAGCACUGAUCAACUUCUAAGGUAACAGCACCCAGGAUUGAUGCAGACUCCCCCAACCACCACCAGGAUGCUGGCACACAGACAAGCAGGAUCCUUUCAAAGCCCAAAUUGGGCCACGUCCCUCCUCUGCUCAGAAUCCUCCCCUGGAUCCCACCUCCACUUACCGUAAAAUGAGUUGGCUCCCUGACCCCUCCCACCUCAGGAUCUUUGCGCAGGCUCUUCCACAGCAGAGGGCACUCUAGUCCCUCAUAUCCUUGAGGUCUUUGCAGAACUCAGGCCUUCCUUAACCAUUGUCAUCAAUACUACAAACCAUUCUCCCUGACACCCCGACUUCCCUUGUCUGGUUUUAGUUGUUUCCUUUGAGGAGCACUCAUCACCAACAUUAACUAUAUACCUCACGAUCGUAUUGUGUCUAUUGUUUGCUGUCCGUUCCCCUCUCCCUCCAGGAAUCUUGUUUUAUUCCUUGGUAUAUCCCCAAUACCUAAAACAGUACUAAAACUAUCUGGUGAAUAAAUGAAAUAAAUGAAAGGGGGAAUAAAUCCUGGGUAAGCAAAAACGACACUGCUCCUUACAGAAAGCUUCUCAGAGAACCCUGCAUAACCAACCCAGUUUCCAUAUGUGCAGAGAAGUGUAAGCCUAGGAGACUGAAACUACAACCCUUGGAAAGGCCUGCUUCCAAGGUCGGCUCCUUGGCUGGUGUCUGGGAACUUGGAAUUCAGGAAGGUUCCCACCGCUCCCUACCUGGUAUCAGUGGUUCACUGUGCCUAAACCGUUCAUGCAAACAAUACAGUUUACGCUGAACACCUUUCCUUCUGGGAGUCUGGAAAUUUUGUUAUGUGCCAGGAAGGGGGCGCCUACAUGACCAGCCCCAAGUAAAAGAGGUGGUGCUGAGUCUAACAAGCUUCCCUGGUUGGCAACAUUUCAUGUCUUGUUACACCUUGUUGCUGUUAUUUCUGUAGUUACUGUUGCUACUGGGGAAAUAAAGGCCGCCUUGUUUAACUCCCGCUGGGAGAAGACUCCUAGAAACUUGCACCAGCCUUUUCCCUUUGCUGAUUUUGGUCUGUAUCCUUUUGCUGUAAUAAAUUGUAGCCACAAGCACGACUA